GGAGAGGUGGCCGAGUGGUUUAAGGCGCACGCCUGGAAAGUGUGUAUACGUUAACGCGUAUCGGGAGUUCGAAUCUCCUCCUCUCCUCCA
rnacentral:tRNA from 1 species